rnacentral:rRNA from 1 species
UACGUAGGGGGCGAGCGUUAUCCGGAUUCACUGGGUGUAAAGGGAGCGUAGACGGCCAAGCAAGCCAGGGGUGAAAGCCCGGGGCCCAACCCCGGGACUGCCCUUGGAACUGCAUGGCUGGAGUGCGGGAGGGGCAGGCGGAAUUCCUGGUGUAGCGGUGAAAUGCGUAGAUAUCAGGAGGAACACCAGUGGCGAAGGCGGCCUGCUGGACGACAACUGACGGUGAGGCGCGAAAGCGUGGGGAGCAAACAGG